GGAGGAAAGCAGGGGAUCGUAAGACCUUGCGCUUUUGGAGCGGCCGAUGUCUGAUUAGCUAGUUGGUGGGGUAAUGGCCUACCAAAGCUUCGAUCAGUAGCUGGUCUGAGAGGACGGCCAGCCACACUGGGACUGAGACACGGCCCAGACUCCUACGGGAGGCAGCAGUGGGGAAUUUUGGACAAUGGGCGCAAGCCUGAUCCAGCCAUGCCGCGUGAGUGAAGAAGGCCUUCGGGUUGUAAAGCUCUUUCAGCCGGGAAGAAAAGGCUGCGAUUAAUAAUCGCAGUUCAUGACGGUACCGGAAGAAGAAGCACCGGCUAACUACGUGCCAGCAGCCGCGGUAAUACGUAGGGUGCGAGCGUUAAUCGGAAUUACUGGGCGUAAAGGGUGCGCAGGCGGUUUUGUAAGUCAGAUGUGAAAUCCCCGGGCUUAACCUGGGAAUUGCGUUUGAAACUACAAGACUAGA
rnacentral:rRNA from 1 species